rnacentral:sRNA from 1 species
UUUAAAAUUAUUUAAUUUUUUUCAUUUAUUUUGUACUCUUUGAUCUUUUACCCUUAGUUUUUUUUAAUGUACGAUUAUAUGUCUUAAAUCCGGAAAUCCAUAUGUUUCUCACUAUUAGUUUUUCCCAUUAUUUUAGUACCAAAAUGUUUAAGGCAAAUCAUGAAUUUAAUUAGUUAUUGUGGUUCAAAUUAAAUUAAGGGCCCAAGUGUUAUUUUCUUUGAAGAUGACGGCUUCCGUUUUAUUGUUUGGCUAAACUAAAAAAAAAAAUAAUUGCUGUUGUGUUACAUUUCAUAGGUACAUCACGUUUUCUAAACCGAGAAAAAAAAUACCCCAAGGAAAUUUAAUUUCCAUUAAAUGAAUGUUAAUUACACAAAUGGCAAACACUUUUCUUGGAGAGUUCUCAUUGUAAGGUAUAAACACUUCUUAUAGGUAUUUGUUUUUAUAUAAUUAUUGUUUUUUCUAUAUUUUUGUUGUUGUAAUUGUUGUUGUAUAAUUUCAUGCCAUGUCAUAGCAAAUUAAAAUAUGUAUAAAAACCGACAAACACUCCUAUUUGCAUUAGAAAGAGAACACACAAAAAUAUCCAAGUGGAGGCAAGAGAAAAAGAGAGCACUUGCUUGAAAACACCACACAGAAGACACCAUUGCAAAAACCGUUUUUUACUGAGUUGAAUUGAAUUAUCUUGAGAAAAAAAAAACAACACCGUCAUCUAUUCUUACCAAACACACUCACACAGACUGAAACACUCGCUUAUACACCACACAACCAAUUUAAAGUUGAGAAUGAGACAAAUGUUGGCGAAGAAAGCAAAGAAUUAUUAAGAAUUCCAACACACGUCACGAAAGCACUUUUGAAGUAGGUUUGCUUUGGUGUGUGUGUGCGUGUGUGCGCGCCAGUUUUUUGGGGGGGGAAGCUACUACAUUCAACAAAAAAAAAAGCUAAAGUGAGCAAGCGAGUGUAUCGUUUUGUUUUUGCUUUUGUGUUUUCCCCACCACGAACGAACGAACGAUAUCAUUACCACAAACACACACAUGAACAACACACAGCAACGUUUUUAAAAAUUCAAGGUUAGGUUCCCACUUUUAUGCCACCACUUGCUGUGUUGUCACACAACAGAGUAUGUAUGUACGAAUGUUGUUGCGUUGUAGUGGGGAGAGCCAAAGCAAAAAUCAAAAAUUUACAGAUAAAAGAAACCCCAAAGAACUUUUUGCCUGUUUUCACCUCUUGAAGUGUGAAAUAAUUUCUUGCUUGUUUGAGGUGGGGGAGUGAGGUGACUUCUCAGUGUUAUCUCUUGGUUUUAGCAAAUUAUUAAAUAUUCCUUUGUAGAAGAUACCAAGAAGACGAAGAAAACACUCGUUUAUUUCUAUCGCUUGGCAAGGACCAGCAGCUUGCAGUAGGUGAACACUUAUUGUCAAAGGUAGUGGGAGAGAGAGCAAGUGAAAGAGAAAAAACGCAUACGAUAAUAAAAAGAGAGCACUUCAAAUUCUAAACAGAUAUUGAUGUGAGACCGCCGGAGCUAGCAAGCGCUUUGGAAAACCGACAAAUUUUUAUGAUUUUUUUUUUCUUGCUGUUUCAAGACAAGAGUCGACGCGUAUCGAAACCGCACUGAAAGGCAGACGAGCAGCAGCCUCAGCAGCGCAAAGAGUUAAUGAAUAACAAAACAAACGAACAGUGAGCGGCCCGCCGACAUGGAGCUAGUGUAGCCUUAUGUUGUGUAAAGCUGCUGCUGCUGGCUGUUUGGUUGGUUGGUUGGUUGUUUGGUGCUCACACAUUCGCGCCGCCGAGUAGUACUAUGGCAAAAGGAAUAAAUAUACGAUACGAACAAACGAGCAGCAGCAAGAGCCAAAGAGCAAGCCAGCAAGCGAGCGAGCAAACUUGCGACGACGACGACGACAGCUCCAACAACAGCAACAACUUUAUAUACUACUCAUAAUAACAAAAUAAUAAUAAUAACAACAAAACUGAAAUUAGCACUAGACUUCAAACGCACACACACACAUACAUACGUAUAUGAAUUUACGCAUUCUCACACACAAGUGGUAAUAUUUGGAGCUGAUAACAACAACCAUACUGAAGCUAGCAAACCACAACAACAAAACUAAUUUGAACCUUACUCUAAUAAUGACAAAUGUCCAACAACAACAGAAACAAACAUCCAUAACAGGCCAUAUAGGUACCAAAAAAAAAAUGUAUUGAACCUUAUCUCACACAAAGAUGAAAUGACACCAGGCAUCCCACAAACACUUGGGCAAACACAUAUGUCCAAAAACUAAAACCAAUGAAUGGAAAAAACAACUCCCCCAGAAAAACACUACAAUACCAUGAGAGUGAAUAGGAAAUAAAAUAACAACACAUAAUCAAAUUGUAAGAGAAAAAAUAAAUUCUUCUAUGUAUUAUAGACCAUUUAAA